GGGCCUGUAGCUCAAAGUUAGAGCAACUUGCAGUUUCAUUCGUAAACUGUUACGUUUUUUGUGGGUUCGAGUCCCACCAGGCCCU
rnacentral:tRNA from 1 species